AACGAACGCUGGCGGCGCGCCUAACACAUGCAAGUCGAACGAGAAUCCGGGGCAACUCGGUAGUAAAGUGGCAAACGGGUGAGGAAUACAUGGGUAACCUGCCCUUGAGAAGGGAAUAACCCGCCGAAAGGUGAGCUAAUACCCUAUACGCUUUGUUCUUCAUGGAAAGCAAAGGAAAGUCAAGCCGAGGGCUUGGCACUCAAGGAGGGGCUCAUGUCCUAUCAGCUUGUUGGUGGGGUAACGGCCUACCAAGGCUACGACGGGUAGCUGGUCUGAGAGGAUGAUCAGCCACACUGGCACUGAGAUACGGGCCAGACUCCUACGGGAGGCAGCAGUGAGGAAUAUUGCGCAAUGGGCGAAAG
rnacentral:rRNA from 1 species